UCUGUCCUACGGGGCGCAGCAGUGAGGAAUAUUGGUCAAUGGGCGGAAGCCUGAACCAGCCAAGUCGCGUGAGGGAAUAAGGCCCUACGGGUCGUAAACCUCUUUUGCCGGGGAGCAAGGGCGGGGACGUGUCCCGGCCCGGAGAGUACACGGAGAAAAAGCAUCGGCUAACUCCGUGCCAGCAGCCGCGGUAAUACGGAGGAUGCGAGCGUUAUCCGGAUUUAUUGGGGUUAAAGGGUGCGUAGGCGGGCUUUUAAGUCAGCGGUAAAAAUUCGGGGUGCAACCCCGUCCGGCC
rnacentral:rRNA from 1 species